GCUCUUGUAGCUCAGUUGCUUAGAGCACCCGUUUAGUAAGCGGGAGGUUUUGAGUUCAACUCGAAAGUACA
rfam:Ipomoea nil DNA, scaffold: scaffold2298, cultivar: Tokyo-kokei standard.